UACGGGGGGGGCAAGCGUUGUUCGGAAUUACUGGGCGUAAAGGGUUCGUAGGUGGCCAACUAAGUCAGACGUGAAAUCCCUCAGCUUAACUGGGGAACUGCGUCUGAUACUGGUUGGCUUGAGUGCAGGAGAGGAACGCGGAAUUCCAGGUGUAGCGGUGAAAUGCGUAGAUAUCCGGAGGAACACCAGUGGCGCAGGCGGCUCUCUGGGUCGGCCCUGACGCUGAGGCGCGAAAGCGUGGGGAGCAAACAGG
rnacentral:rRNA from 1 species